rnacentral:rRNA from 1 species
AGAGUUUGAUCAUGGCUCAGGAUGAACGCUGGCGGCGUGCCUAAUCCAUGCAAGUCGAACGGAGACGAUAGCAAUAUUGUCUUAGUGGCGAACGGGUGAGUAACGCGUUGGUGACCUGCCCCGAAGCGGGGGAUAACAGACCGAAAGGUUUGCUAAUACCGCAUAAUUUGUUGAGAGUUAGAGAGCUUGACAAGAAAGCCGAAAGGCACUUUGGGAGGGGCCUGCGUCCCAUCAGCUAGUUGGUAAGGUAACGGCUUACCAAGGCGAUGACGGGUAGGGGACCUGAGAGGGUGGCCCCCCACAAUGGAACUGAAACACGGUCCAUACACCUACGGGUGGCAGCAGGAGGGAAUAUUGGUUAAUGUGCGAAAGCGCGAACCAGCAACGCCGCGUGUACGAUGAAGGCCUUCGGGUUGUAAAGUACUUUUCACCGGGAAGAGGAAGGACGGUACCGGUGGAAUAAGUCUCGGCUAACUACGUGCCAGCAGCCGCGGUAACACGUAGGAGACGAGCGUUAUCCGGAUUUACUGGGUGUAAAGCGCGUGCAGGCGGUUUGUUAAGUUGGAUGUGAAAGCUCCCGGCUAAACUGGGAGAGGUCGUUCAAAACUGGCAGACUAGAGUGUGGUAGAGGGGAGUGGAAUUCCGAGUGUAGCGGUAAAAUGCAUAGAUAUUCGGAAGAACACCAGUGGCGAAGGCGACUUCCUGGACCACAACUGACGCUCAGACGCGAAAGCCAGGGUAGCAAACGGGAUUAGAGACCCCGGUAGUCCUGGCAGUAAACGAUGUGAACUUGGCGUUGGUGGGAUAAAACCUAUCAGUGCCGAAGCAAACGCGAUAAGUUCACCACCUGGGGACUACGGCCGCAAGGUUAAAACUCAAAUGAAUUGACGG